rnacentral:rRNA from 1 species
UUUUUAGAAUGAAGUUUUCGGAUGGAAUUUUUAAACUUAGUGGCGGACGGGUGAGUAACACGUGAGCAACCUGCCUUUCAGAGGGGGAUAACGGCUGGAAACGGUCGCUAAUACCGCAUAAAAUCAUAGGAGGACAUCCUCUAAUGAUCAAAGGAGCAAUCCGCUGAAAGAUGGGCUCGCGUCUGAUUAGAUAGUUGGCGGGGUAACGGCCCACCAAGUCGACGAUCAGUAGCCGGACUGAGAGGUUGAACGGCCACAUUGGGACUGAGACACGGCCCAAACUCC